rnacentral:rRNA from 1 species
AUUGAACGCUGGCGGCAUGCCUUACACAUGCAAGUCGAACGGCAGCACGGGGGCAAUCCUGGUGGCGAGUGGCGAACGGGUGAGUAAAGUAUCGGAACGUGCCGAGUCGGUGGGGAUAACGUAGCGAAAGGUACGCUAAGACCGCAUACGAUCUAAGGAGGAAAGCGGGGGAUCGCAAGACCUCGCGCGAUUGGAGCGGCCGAUAUCAGAUGAGGUAGUUGGUGGGGCAAAGGCCCACCAAGCCGACGAUGUGUAGCCGGUCUGAGAGGACGACCAGCCACACUGGGACUGAGACACGGCCCAGACUCCUACGGGAGGCAGCAGUGGGGAAUUUUGGACAAUGGGCGAAAGCCUGAUCCAGCCAUGCCGCGUGCAGGAUGAAGGACUUCGGGUUGUAAACUGCUUUUGUACGGAACGAAAAGGUUUGGCAUAAUAUGCUGAGCUAAUGACGGUACUGUAAGAAUAAGCACCGGCUAACUACGUGCCAGCCGCCGCGGUAA